GGGGGUAUAGCUCAGCUGGGAGAGCACCUGCUUUGCAAGCAGGGGGUCAGGAGUUCGAUCCUCCUUAUCUCCA
rnacentral:tRNA from 1 species